GUGAACUACUUUGAAGAUAUUUUUGGUGAACCUCUGGACUUUGAGUUGGGUAGCCUACCUUGCUGUCUCAGGGAAUUGGAACGACACGAGGAUACUCCUUGGCAGCCAGUCUUUGUAUGGAGUCCACCGUGAUCUACUGUAUAGAGGGUCCAGUGACUACUAGGGGGUCUCUGCAAACUUUCAAUGAGGACCAUUAGACUUCUUGAGAAGGAUUGGCUCAGGGAAGGAUUGACUGCAACCAUCUCACCCCAACCCCUGGGUGCAUCAGCAUUGGAUAUUAUGGGUUAAACCUCCUGUCUAUUGUUUAGGGUCACUAAUGGUUAAAGAAGUGGACU